UAUUUUUACCUUAUAUUAACUUAUAUUUUUUAACAACCGUAUUGUACCGCGACGUCUAUAGUUCUAACGGACUACGAAAAUAAACCUUAAAGCUAUAAGUUAAAGGGUCAAAGUGCAACCAUCUAUUUCAUAAUAGUUUGACUACACAGUAUCAAAAUGCAUCUACCACCAUAACUAAACAAAUAAGUUUUAUAUUAUCUAUAUAUUAUUAUAUAAAAUAUAGAAUAUGUUUAUAUUUUUUAAAGAUUUUAAGUUAAUUUUUAAUAAAUAUUUCUUCCUCUUUAAUAUCUAAAUCUAUGAGCAAAAUUAAAAACUAUACAACAAUAUAAUAGAGGUACGUUUACAAAAUAUAAAACAAAAAUAACAUUACGUAUGAAAUAUAUUAUAAACAUAUCUUUUAUUAUACUUUUUUUUGUUUGAUGUGAUAUAGUUUACUCAAAUAACAUACUAGUAUAUUUUUUUAUCUUUUAAUAUUAUCUCUAAUACUAUAAAUGCAUAGGUAAAUCACCUAAAUAUUAGACUAGGAUAAAGUACUUUGUUACGACUAGGAGCAAUUAUAAUUACGUAAAGAAAACGAACAAAAUACUAAAGAUCGAGAACUACGUUUACUUAAAAUUAUAUUCUACGUGCUUUGUACAACCUGUUUUUAACCUUAUAACAAAUAAUUUAAGUACUUAUUUGCUUGUACCUUGGAAAUUAUGGAACAAUUAUUACGUUACGAGGUUGUUUUUUUGUCAAGAGGCAUCCUCAUAUUACUGCAAAAUAAACUUCAAACAAAAAAUAUCGAUAAGAAAUAAAUCGAGUAACAUAAAAGGCUUUAGCCUGCACGAUUCUGCUAAUUAUCUAAUUGUAUUGUCUUAAUUUCUAAACUACACCCUGUAAUUAUAUCACGUUAUGGGUUACCUGUCAAAAUUAGGACAUUAU